rnacentral:rRNA from 1 species
UACGAAGGGGGGCUAGCGUUGUUCGGAAUUACUGGGCGUAAAGGGCGCGUAGGCGGCCGUUUAAGUUAGGUGUGAAAGUCCUGGGCUCAACCUGGGGACUGCACUUAAUACUGGAUGGCUUGAAUUCGGGAGAGGAUAGCGGAAUUCCCAGUGUAGAGGUGAAAUUCGUAGAUAUUGGGAAGAACACCGGUGGCGAAGGCGGCUAUCUGGACCGACAUUGACGCUGAGGCGCGAAAGCGUGGGGAGCAAACAGG